rnacentral:rRNA from 1 species
UAGAUACCCUGGUAGUCCACGCUAUAAACGAUGGAAGCUAUACGUUGGGGCUUAGGUUUCAGUGUAGCAGCAAACGCAAUAAGCUUCUCGCCUGGGGAGUACGGUCGCAAGAUUAAAACUCAAAGGAAUUGACGGGGACCCGCACAAGCGGUGGAGCAUGUGGUUUAAUUCGAAGCUACGCGAAGAACCUUACCCGCUUUUGACAUAGGGAUCGAGGGGAUGAGAGAUCAUCUUCGUCGGUUCGGCCGGA